rnacentral:rRNA from 1 species
UACGGGAGGCAGCAGUGGGGAAUAUUGCACAAUGGGCGAAAGCCUGAUGCAGCUAUGCCGCGUGUAUGAAGAAGGCCUUAGGGUUGUAAAGUACUUUCAUCGGGGAGGAAAAAACAAAACUAAUAAUUUUAUUUCUUGACGUUACCCGAAAAAGAAGCACCGGCUAACUCCGUGCCAGCAGCCGCGGUAAUACGGAGGGUGCUAGCGUUAAUCAGAAUUACUGGGCGUAAAAGAGCACGUAGGUGGUUUUUUUAAAGUCAGAUGUGAAAUCCCUGGGCUUAACCUAGGAACUGCAUUUUGAAACUGAAAUACUAGAGUAUCGUAGAGGGAGGUAGAAUUCUAGGUGUAGCGGUGAAAUGCGUAGAUAUCUGGAGGAAUACCUGUGGCGAAAGCGGCCUCCUAAACGAAUACUGACACUGAGGUGCGAAAAGCGUGGGGAGCAAAACAGGGAUUAGAU